rnacentral:rRNA from 1 species
AUUGAACGCUGGCGGCAGGCCUAACACAUGCAAGUCGAGCGGAGCGACCGGCGGGCGGGUGAUUCCUACGUAUCUGCCUGGCAGUUGGGGAUGGCGUCCGGACGCGAGCGCUAAUACCGCAUCCUUUCAGAUGAGCCUAGGUCGGAGUAGCUAGUUGGUGGGGUAAGGGCCUACCAAGGCGACGAUCCGUACCUGGUCUGAGAGGAUGAUCAGUCACACUGGAACUGAGACACGGUCCAGACUCCUACGGGAGGCAGCAGUGGGGAAUAUUGGACAAUGGGCGAAAGCCUGAUGCAGCCAUGCCGCGUGUGUGAAGAAGGUCUUCGGAUUGUAAAGCACUUUAAGUUGGGAGGCGUUACCAACAGAAUAAGCACCGGCUAACUUCGUGCCAGCAGCCGCGGUAAUAC